rnacentral:misc_RNA from 1 species
GAUGAAGAACGUAGCGAAAUGCGAUAAGUAAUGUGAAUUGCAGAAUUCAGUGAAUCAUCGAAUCUUUGAACGCACAUUGCGCCCGUCAGUAUUCUGGCGGGCAUGCCUGUUCGAGCGUCAUUACGCCCCUCAAGUCCCCUGUGGACUUGGUGUUGGGGAUCGGCGAGGCUGGUUUUCCAGCACAGCCGUCCCUUAAAUUAAUUGGCGGUCUCGCCGUGGCCCUCCUCUGCGCAGUAGUAAAACACUCGCAACAGGAGCCCGGCGCGGUCCACUGCCGUAAAACCCCCCAACUUUUUAUAGUUGACCUCGAAUCAGGUAGGACUACCCGCUGAACUUAAGCAUAUCAAUAAGUGGAGGA